rnacentral:rRNA from 1 species
GACAGAGGGUGCAAGCGUUGUUCGGAAUUACUGGGCGUAAAGGGCGUGUAGGCGGUGGAGUGUGUCUGAUGUGAAAUCCCUCGGCUUAACCGGGGAACUGCAUCGGAAACUACUCUGCUGGAGUGCGAGAGAGGAUGGCGGAAUUCCUGGUGUAGAGGUGAAAUUCGUAGAUACCAGGAGGAACACCGGAGGCGAAGGCGGCCAUCUGGAUCGUAACUGACGCUGAGACGCGAAAGCGUGGGUAGCAAACAGG